UACAGAGGUCCCAAGCGUUGUUCGGAUUCACUGGGCGUAAAGAGCUCGUAGGCGGCCAGUUGCGUCUGCUGUGAAAUCCCGGGGCUCAACCCCGGGCGUGCAGUGGAUACGGGCUGGCUAGAGGCAGGUAGGGGAGAACGGAAUUCCCGGUGUAGCGGUGAAAUGCGCAGAUAUCGGGAGGAACACCGGUGGCGAAGGCGGUUCUCUGGGCCUGUACUGACGCUGAGGAGCGAAAGCGUUGGGAGCGAACAGG
rnacentral:rRNA from 1 species